UACAGAGGGUGCAAGCGUUAAUCGGAAUUACUGGGCGUAAAGCGCGCAUAGGUGGUUCGUUAAGUUGGAUGUGAAAUCCCCGGGCUCAACCUGGGAACUGCAUUCAAAACUGUCGAGCUAGAGUAUGGUAGAGGGUGGUGGAAUUUCCUGUGUAGCGGUGAAAUGCGUAGAUAUAGGAAGGAACACCAGUGGCGAAGGCGACCACCUGGACUGAUACUGACACUGAGGUGCGAAAGCGUGGGGAGCAAACAGG
rnacentral:rRNA from 1 species